rnacentral:rRNA from 1 species
UACAGAGGGUGCGAGCGUUAAUCGGAAUUACUGGGCGUAAAGCGCGCGUAGGCGGCUUUGUAAGUCGGGUGUGAAAUCCCCAGGCUUAACCUGGGAACUGCAUUCGAGACUGCAUUGCUAGAGUAUGGGAGAGGGAAGUGGAAUUUCCGGUGUAGCGGUGAAAUGCGUAGAUAUCGGAAGGAACACCAGUGGCGAAAGCGGCUUCCUGGUCCAGCAUCGACGUUCAGGCACGAAAGCGUGGGGAGCAAACAGG